rnacentral:rRNA from 1 species
CCUACGGGCGGCAGCAGUGGGGAAUUUUGGACAAUGGACGAAAGUCUGAUCCAGCAAUGCCGCGUGCAGGACGAAGGCCUUCGGGUUGUAAACUGCUUUUGUACAGAACGAAAAAGUCUUUAAUAACACUAGAGGCUCAUGACGGUACUGUAAGAAUAAGCACCGGCUAACUACGUGCCAGCAGCCGCGGUAAUACGUAGGGUACAAGCGUUAAGCGGAAUUACUGGGGGCGGUGCGUGCGGACACGGGUGAAAUCCCCGGGCUCAACCUGGGACCUGCAUUUGUGACUGUAUAGCUAGAGUACGGUAGAGGGGGAUGGAAUUCCGCGUGUAGCAGUGAAAUGCGUAGAUAUGCGGAGGAACACCGAUGGCGAAGGCAAUCCCCUGGACCUGUACUGACGCUCAUGCACGAAAGCGUGGGGAGCAAACAGGAUUAGAUACCCCUGUAGUC